GUACUCUAUGUUGUACAACACUUCUUCUGUAAACGUAUUUACAUUUAAGUUUUGGCAACCUCAUGUGCCUGUCGUUUGAUGACAAAAUGUUUGUUUAUUCAUACUCAGUCUUUCUUUAAAAACCAUACCAAAAUAGUUUGGCAAAAGAUAGCAACUUUGAUAACAUUUCAAUAGAUUAUAAAAAAUCCAUUGGAUACAUUAAGUCUAGAUGAAGGAAUUGGCUUCGACCUCAUCAUACAUCAAUUCAUGUGCAAGAUACAUAAAUUACAAAGCUUGUCC
rnacentral:lncRNA from 1 species